UGUUUCGGCUAGGGGGCCAUCCCGGCUUACCAACCCGAUGCAAACUGCGAAUACCGGAGAAUGUUAUCACGGGAGACACACGGCGGGUGCUAACGUCCGUCGUGAAGAGGGAAACAACCCAGACCGCCAGCUAAGGUCCCAAAGUCAUGGUUAAGUGGGAAACGAUGUGGGAAGGCCCAGACAGCCAGGAUGUUGGCUUAGAAGCAGCCAUCAUUUAAAGAAAGCGUAAUAGCUCACUGGUCGAGUCGGCCUGCGCGGAAGAUGUAACGGGGCUAAACCAUGCACCGAAGCUGCGGCAGCGAACGUAUCACUUAAAGCGAUUCAGCGGGUUACGAUUGACGGAGCGAAGCGACGUCAAAGCGUAUACAAAGUCGAGUCGGUUUAAGGAUACGUUCGUUGGGUAGGGGAGCGUUCUGUAAGCCUGCGAAGGUGGCCUGUGAGGGUUGCUGGAGGUAUCAGAAGUGCGAAUGCUGACAUAAGUAACGAUAAAGCGGGUGAAAAGCCCGCUCGCCGGAAGACCAAGGGUUCCUGUCCAACGUUAAUCGGGGCAGGGUGAGUCGACCCCUAAGGCGAGGCCGAAAGGCGUAGUCGAUGGGAAACGGGUUAAUAUUCCCGUACUUGGUGUUACUGCGAAGGGGGGACGGAGAAGGCUAUGUUGGCCGGGCGACGGUU
rnacentral:rRNA from 2 species